rnacentral:lncRNA from 1 species
AUGGAUGACUUAAACUACCUGAUUUUAAAACUUUCUAUAGAGCUACAGCAAUUAAGACAUUGUGAUAACGGUUUAAGGGUAAACAGACCAACAGAAGAGAACAGAGAAAACCCAAAAAUAGACCCACCCGUAUACGGUCAAUUGAUUCAGGACAAAGACACCAGUGCAGUUCAGCAGAGGCAGGAUUUUCUCUGCGCCCCCAACCAGCCUGGCCCCAUGUCAGGCACCAGAGUGCACACCUGGAACCCCCAAGAACGUUACUGAAGAUUUGGGAGACAACUGAAAGAGCCCUGAGAGGUUAUGAUAAUGUCCCCACCAGCAGCAGUUACUGUCCCACAACUUCCCUCCUGCUCAGAUCUCCAGGUCUCCCAACACCCUCACCCACAACCUCAGAAAGAAUGUCAUUUCCUCCCUUCAAGCCAAGACUCAAGCCAUUCCUGCAGCAAGAAUAUGCAUCCCAUCCCUUGGAGUCUGCAUCAGGCUUGUCCACUCUGGAAUCCAGAGCUGGGCCUACAGGAGGUGCUCAGUAUUGACUAGUUGAAUGAAUGGAUGAGGCCCUGCUUCCGGGUCUGGCAAGGCAGUCAUACUAAGUGUACGCAUAUUUCCUGGCUUCUGGGUUAUUCAGCUUCAAAGUGACAGCAUGUUGGGACAGCCACAGCUUUGGUCUAAAUGCACAUUUAGGAAAAACAUUUCUCUAAUGCUUCAAGGGCACAGCCAGGCUAGAGGAGCUCCCGAUCUCCAUAACUAAACAGCACACUUAACCUUGCAAACCGCAGCAUCUGUGCCCCAAUUUGUAGUGACUUUACAGUUUCCUCCAAGAACAAAUAGGACGGAUUUUUGCUUGUUUGUAACUACAGGGCCCAGCCUGGGAUGGAGGAAAAGCCAAGGCAGCCUGUUCCAAAGCCUUAGUUCUCCACCUUCAGAAACCCAAACUGUUGACACCCACAACUGGCCUCACCCUGGAAAGAGCAAGGCAAGGUCUUUGUGACCCAAGCAGCCCCUGGAAUUCCAGGGUCAUUCACUCCAUUCAUUUGUUUCAAUAAAUAUUUGCAGGAUAACUCCA